rfam:Oryza barthii chromosome 11, whole genome shotgun sequence.
AAAAAGACAAACCCUGGGUCUCCGUGUCCAACGUUUGACUGUCCGUCUUAUAUAAAUUUUUUUUAUAAUUAGUAUUUUCAUUGUUGUUAGAUGAUAAAAUAUGAUUAAUAAUUUAUGCGUGACUUGACUUUUUAAUUUUUUUCAUAAAUUUUUCAAAUAAGACGGACGGUUAAAUGUUGGACACGAAAACCCAGGAUUUGUCUUUUU